AGCAGCCGCGGUAAUUCCAGCUCCAAUAGCGUAUAUUAAAGUUGUUGCAGUUAAAAAGCUCGUAGUUGAACUUCGGGGUUUACUCAUUGGUCAGGCUUAAUUGUCUGUACUGGUGAGAUGAAUCUCUACCUUCUGAGGAACUUUCAUGCCAUUAAUUUGGUGUGUUGGGAAAUCAGGACUGUUACUUUGAAAAAUUAGAGUGUUUAAAGCAGGCUAACGUCUGAAUACAUUAGCAUGGAAUAAUGAAAUAGGACGGAUUGAUUCUAUUCGUUGGUUUCUAGGGUCACCGUAAUGAUUAAUAGGGAUAGUUGGGGCAUUAGUAUUCAAUUGUCAGAGGUGAAAUUCUUGGAUUUAUUGAAGACUAACUACUGCGAAAGCAUUUGCCAAGGAUGUUUUCAUUAAUACAAGAACGAAAGUUAGGGGAUCGAAGCGAUCAGAUACCGUCGUAGUCUUAACCAUAAACUAUAGCCGACUA
rnacentral:rRNA from 1 species